rnacentral:tRNA from 1 species
CCUCCCCCGAGACACACACUCUUUUUUUUUUUUUUUUCCAAAAAAAAAAAGGGGGGGUUUUUUUUUGGGGGGCCGGGGGGGGG